rnacentral:lncRNA from 1 species
GAAGAUCCGGACUCUGGGUGUUUUGCUACCGUGACCGUUUAGACAGAAACUGUUCAUACUUGGUGCGCUGUGGACUCUUGUGAUAAUUAACCAAGAGUAGCUCUAUUUGUCCAACCUCACACCUAAAGAAGAAAGAAAAUGGCUUGUGCUGAGUUUUCUUUUCAUGUACCAAGUCUUGAAGAGCUUGCUGGAGUAUGCAGAAGGGGUUAAAAGAUAACUUUGCUGAUGUCCAGGUCUCUGUAGUUGAUUGCCCUGAUUUGACUAAGGAACCCUUUACCUUUCCUGUAAAAGCAUCUGUGGGAAAACUAGAAUUGCAGAAGUUGGAGGUGUGCCUUACUUAUUGCCUCUUGUAAACCAAAAAAAAUUUAUGAUCUGAAUAAAAUUGCAAAAGAAAUCAAGCUGCCUGGAGCCUUUAUUCUUGGAGCAGGAGCAGGUCCAUUUCAGACUCUCGGGUUCAAUUCUGAGUAAUUGAGGUGAAAGCCAAAAGAAGAACUGGACCACUUAACUUUGUGACUUGUAUGAGAGAGACCCUGGAAAAACAUUAUGGAAAUAAGCCUAUAGGAAUGGGAGGUACUUUCAUAAUUCAGAAGGGAAAAGUGAAGUCUCACAUUAUGCUGCAGAAUUUUCUUCCUGCCCCUUGAACUCUGAUGAAGAAGUGAAUAAAUGGUUGCAUUUUUAUGAAAUGAAA